rnacentral:rRNA from 1 species
GAUGAACGCUGGCGGCGUGCCUAAUACAUGCAAGUCGAGCGAACAGACGAGGAGCUUGCUCCUCUGACGUUAGCGGCGGACGGGUGAGUAACACGUGGAUAACCUACCUAUAAGACUGGGAUAACUUCGGGAAACCGGAGCUAAUACCGGAUAAUAUAUUGAACCGCAUGGUUCAAUAGUGAAAGACGGUUUUGCUGUCACUUAUAGAUGGAUCCGCGCCGCAUUAGCUAGUUGGUAAGGUAACGGCUUACCAAGGCAACGAUGCGUAGCCGACCUGAGAGGGUGAUCGGCCACACUGGAACUGAGACACGGUCCAGACUCCGACGGGAGGCAGAAGUAGGGAAUCUUCCGCAAUGGGCGAAAGCCUGACGGAGCAACGCCGCGGGAGUGAUGAAGGUCUGCGGAUCGUAAAACGCUGUUAUUAGGGAAGAACAAAUGUGUAAGUAACUAUGCACGUCUUGACGGUACCGAAUCAGAAAGCCACGGCUAACUACGU